AGCAUAUCAAUAAGCGGAGGAAAAGAAACCAACAGGGAUUGCCCCAGUAACGGCGAGUGAAGCGGCAAGAGCUCAAAUUUGAAAGCUGGCUCCUUCGGGGUCCGCAUUGUAAUUUGCAGAGGAUGCUUCGGGAGCGGUCCCCAUCUAAGUUCCCUGGAACGGGACGUCAUAGAGGGUGAAAAUCCCGUAUGGGAUGGGGUGUCCGCGCCCGUGUGAAGCUCCUUCGACGAGUCGAGUUGUUUGGGAAUGCAGCUCUAAAUGGGUGGUAAAUUUCAUCUAAAGCUAAAUAUUGGCCGGAGACCGAUAGCGCACAAGUAGAGUGAUCGAAAGAUGAAAAGCACUUUGAAAAGAGAGUUAAAAAGCACGUGAAAUUGUUGAAAGGGAAGCGCUUGCGACCAGACUCGCUCGCGGGGUUCAGCCGGCAUUCGUGCCGGUGUACUUCCCCGCGGGCGGGCCAACGUCGGUUUGGGCGGUCGGUCAAAGGCCCUCGGAAGGUAACGCCNNNNNNGGCGUCUUAUAGCCGAGGGUNCAAUNCGACCUGCCUAGACCGAGGAACGCGCUUCG
rnacentral:rRNA from 1 species